GUGAGUCAUCGAAUCUUUGAACGCACAUUGCGCUCUCUGGUAUUCCGGAGAGCAUGCUUGUUUGAGUAUCAGUAAAACACCCUCAACCUUUUCUUUAUUGAAAAGGUUGGACUUGAGUGAUCCCAACGGUUUUUUUUUAAAAGGCUGGCGGGUUGCUUGAAAUGCAGGUGCGGCUGGACACAUCUUCUGAGCUAUAAGCAUUACCUAUUUAGUCCCGUCAAACGGAUUAUUUCUAUUGCUACAGCUAAUAUAAAGGUUGAUUGUCCUGUGCCCGACUGAUGCAGGAAAACAUGGAGAAAU
rnacentral:misc_RNA from 1 species